rnacentral:rRNA from 1 species
ACUCAAAUGAAUAGACGGGGGCCCGCACAAGCGGUGGAGCAUGUGGUUUAAUUCGACGCAACGCGAAGAACCUUACCUGGGCUCGAACGGCUUCCGACGGGCUGUAGAAAUACGGCCGUUCCCGCAAGGGACGGGAGUCGAGGUGCUGCAUGGCUGUCGUCAGCUCGUGUCGUGAGAUGUUGGGUUAAGUCCCGCAACGAGCGCAACCCUCGUCCUGUGUUGCUACCCGCAAGGGAGCACUCUCAGGAGACCGCCAGCGAUAAGUUGGAGGAAGGUGGGGAUGACGUCAAGUCAUCAUGGCCUUUAUGUCCAGGGCUACACACGUGCUACAAUGGGCGGUACAAAGCGCAGCCAACCCGCGAGGGGGAGCCAAUCGCCAAAAACCGCUCUCAGUUCGGAUCGCAGGCUGCAACUCGCCUGCGUGAAGCUGGAAUCGCUAGUAAUGGCGCAUCAGAACGGCGCCGUGAAUACGUUCCCGGGCCUUGCACACACCGCCCGU